AAACAAGUUCACCUUUCCCUGCCAUUUACUUAGGGCCUGUAUUUAUUCUGAACUCCUAGAAUCGCGGGGCCUGUCAGAGCCUGACCGGUGCUUGAGGUCACCCUCUUUUAAAGUAAGAAAUUUGAGGUCCAGAGGACCUAACCAAUGGUGGGCACAAGCAGCUGCAGCCAGGAGGCACAAAGCCAGCCAGGAAAGCAGCUGACAUACGGUAAGGACCCGACCAGACUCAGGUGACACCGGAAUCUCAUACCUGAACCAUGACAAAAACAAGUUUUAUCCUUCAAAGUUUCAGAAGGACAUAUGUCCACUGGCUAGACUCCUAUCUUCCAACCUCUCUGGCAACUAAGUGUGGGUUUGUGAUUAAAUAACGGCCAGUAGGGAUUGAACAAAAGGAAGGUCUGCUACUUCGGUGAUGCCGUGAAAAGUAUGGACAUGCCUUCCCCCUUGCCCUUUUCCUUCACUCCCGACUAAGAGGCGACUACGGGAAUGGCCACCUUGAAUUUGGACAUGGAAGUCUUAUGAGGGUGCCAGAGUCCCCUCUCAGCUCUGGAACGCCUAGCUCUGUAAACUGAAAGAGAAAUAAAUGUCAUCUUAUUUAA